CUCUCUCCAUAGAUGUAGAAAGACGGCACACCUCUGAAAUCCUUGUAAAUGACCGUGUUCUGUGAAAGCACGGGCAGCGCCCUUAGUGGCUAUCUUCCAUUUUUUUUUAAGUAGUCCAUUUCCUCUCCUUCAACUUGUGAGUGUUCUGGUAAUCUAUGAAGAAACAAUAAGGCACUUCAUACCACCAUCUACUGUGCUGCAGUGUGUACAGGCUGAACAGGUCAAAGCCAGGUUGGUGAUUUAGUGCCACCUGCAGUUAUGGAAUGUUUGCUGAGGAGUAUCAAUCAUUGGCUGACGCCUCCUGAUGACCUGCAUGGAAUUCAAAAUUACUACUUCAAAAUGGGGAGAAUCUCAAAAGCAUUUCUUUGAUUCAUCACAUCCUCUCUCCUCGCCUCCUUCUCAAAACCUAUAGGAUGACAAGGUCCUGAGGUUCCUCCUUCUCAAAACCUAUUGGAUGACAAGGUCCUGAGGUUCCUCCUUCUCAAACCCUAUUGGAUGAAAAGAUCCUGAGGUUCCUCCUUCUCAAACCCUAUUGGAUGACAAGGUCCUGAGGUUCCUCCUUCUCAAACCCUAUUGGAUGAAAAGGUCAUGAGGUUCCUCCUUCUCAAAACCUAUUGGAUGACAAGGUCCUGAGGUUCCUCCUUCUCAAAACCUAUUGGAUGACAAGGUCCUGAGGUUCCUCCUUCUCAAAACCUAUUGAAUGACAAGGUCCUGAGGUUCCUCCUUCUCAAAACCUAUUGGAUGACAAGGUCCUGAGGUUCCUCCUUCUCAAAACCUAUUGGAUGACAAGGUCCUGAGGUUCCUCCUUCUCAAAACCUAUUGGAUGACAAGGUCCUGAGGUUCCUCCUUCUCAAAACCUAUUGGAUGACAAGGUCCUGAGGUUCCUCCUUCUCAAAACCUAUUGGAUGACAAGGUCCUGAGGUUCCUCCUUCUCAAAACCUAUUGGAUGACAAGGUCCUGAGGUUCCUCCUUCUCAAAACCUAUUGGAUGACAAGGUCCUGAGGUUCCUCCUUCUCAAAACCUAUUGGAUGACAAGGUCCUGAGGUUCCUCCUUCUCAAAACCUAUAGGAUGACAAGGUCCUGAGGUUCCUCCUUCUCAAAACCCAUUGGAUGAAAAGGUCAGAAGGGAGGGAGCUCUGACCUUUUUUAUCCAAUGGGUUUAUGAGAAGGAGGUGAGGAGAGAGGACGUGAAGAUUCAAGGAAAUGCAAUUGCAGGCUGAGUGUGAUGAGGUAUGGCACAUUAAAAAAAGUUUUGCAGUUAAGUUUCCAUGUACCGGACAAAACGAUCUAAGUUAAAUGGUUUCCUGCAUUUUCAACUCUACCAUGAUUUUGUCACAAAAACUGUUGCAGUGAUACAGCAAACUAUCCCAAACUGGUUUUGAGCAUGAUUUAGACAGUUUGUGAUUUAGACAGUUCGUGAUUUAGACAGUGAAUUAGACAGUUCGUGAUUUCGACAGUUCGUGAUUUAGACAGUUCGUGAUUUAGACAGUUAGUGAUUUCGACAGUUUGUGAUUUUGACAGUUCGUGAUUUAGACAGUUCGUGAUUUAGACAGUUCGUGAUUUAGACAGUUCGUGAUUUAGACAGUUUGUGAUUUCGACAGAUCGUGAUUUUGACAGUUCGUGAUUUAGACAGUUCGUGAUUUAGACAGUUCGUGAUUUAGACAGUUCGUGAUUUAGACAGUUCGUGAUUUAGACAGUUCGUGAUUUAGACAGUUCGUGAUUUAGACAGUUCGUGAUUUAGACAGUUCGUGAUUUAGACAGUUCGUGAUUUAGACAGUUCGUGAUUUCAACAGUUUGUGAUUUCGACAAUUCAUGAUUUCGACAGUUUGCUGAUGAAGUGGACAGAGUGAGUUAUAUGAUUUGGAUAAAAGACAGAUCAUUUUUAGUGUAUCUUAGUUAAAUGCACUAAGUGGCUCUGAUUAAGAGUGUCUGCUAAAUGUAGCUUACUAGCAGUGUACCAUCUUUCCUCAUUUGUG